UAUGUCGUGCGAAUGCAAGGUAUGCGAAUCACGAAAUACUCUAACGCAAACUGCACCUUUGAGUAAUCAAAGGUAUACUUGUUUGAGGGCCAUUUAACAUAAUAAACAAUCAAUCACUAUUGCCAAUGCAGUUUUGGUUGAAUUCGUUUGAAAUGGGCAUCCAGUCAUUACGAUUGGUUACCUUAAAUCUAAGGAAUCAUCAUUGAAUACAGUUUGUAUGAAUGAUACCGUUGUUGGUAGAUUUACUUUAUCACAAUGACAUUCGACAGACAUUAAUGUGUUCUAUUGGUGUUAUUCCUCUCAGGAUCACAACCGUUUAAUUGUGAAAUCCUUUAAAUCUCGGCCUCAAAUCAAGUAAGAUGACCCGCUGGACUUAAGCAUAUCACUAAGCGGAGG
rnacentral:rRNA from 1 species